UACAGAGGUCUCAAGCGUUGUUCGGAUUCAUUGGGCGUAAAGGGUGCGUAGGUGGCGGGGUAAGUCUGGUGUGAAAUCCUGGGGGCUCAACCCCCGGAACUGCACUGGAUACUGCUUUGCUAGAGUACUGGAGAGGGAACUGGAAUUUACGGUGUAGCAGUGAAAUGCGUAGAUAUCGUAAGGAAGACCAGUGGCGAAGGCGAGUUCCUGGACAGUUACUGACACUGAGGCACGAAAGCGUGGGGGAGCAAACAGG
rnacentral:rRNA from 1 species